GCACGUGACAUGGUCUGGUAACUCACAUCCUGCCUAGAGAGGAAUGGAAGUAUUAUGCACGUAAGAAUCUGUUCCGUGGAGAGUCGCAGAUGGAAAGGUCCUUAGGGAUAACCCUGCUCUCAGUGCCGGGUAAGGUCUUUGCUAGGGUCAUCCUUAACAGGAUUCGUGCUCACUCGCCUGUCAGCGAUCGGCGCAGUCUGGGAAGAUAUAAUGGAAGAUCUGUUUACCUCCGGGAUAGACGCCCCGCGACCCUGAAUAGGACAAGCGGUUUCACAAAAUGGAUGGAUGGAUGGAUGAUGAGCAAGUAUUUCUCAUUUAUAACAAGAUGGUUUUGAUGUAUUUAUGCCCAUCUUUGAUCACACGAUAGUCAGUGCAGCAAUUAGCUGCACACAUAACCUGGGUCACUGAUACAUUUUUUUGAUCGAAAAGUCGUCGGGCCAGACCUGGGAUGCGUGUAUGAAGUCUUGUAUUUGUGUUUCGACUGUAAGAUUGUGUUUGUUAUAAUAAGUUUGUAUUCUAAGAGAGAGAGACACACAUACUAUUGGUGUUCAUUAUUGUCUGGGCUCCCAGUUGCCCUGUCCCAUUGCCAGAGGGCCUGUACAGUGGAAUCCUGAGCUACAUGAGGAUUUAACGUGGAGAAGGGGGCCUGCAAAUCCUUCCACCACGGACUUAUCCACAACACCCAAUGUUCCAGUGGCAAGUGGCUUCUCUCAAGGCGACUUUCAGAAGAUCCUUACUGUCCACGGUGGCCCAACCUGGAGCUAUUGCAUCACUCAGCAUCACUCUUGGAUUUAUAGGAACACACAAGCCUUUCCACCACCACAAGAUUACCGAUCCUGAAGAGUUCUUCACAAAGGAUGUGGAAAUGGAUCUCCUUAGACGACCAUGGGGUUGCUCACCAUUUACUGACGGAUGCUGUUGAAUUCGCCGUUGUGUCUGAGGACAACAUCGAGACCAUCAGUGACCUACCAAAUGCAUUGUUUCUCCUCAUCUGUCUUCUACAUGCUCUGAACAUUUACUAUCCCAAACGAUAAAAAAAUACCUUUGAGGUAAACCUAUACCUUUUUGCGGGACUGUCAACAAUUACUCAGCAAAGACAAUCUCCUUGGAGACCAGAGCUACUUUGGAAAGAUAUUGUGGGUGGCAUUUUGGUUCUGUGUCCCCCAGAUUUAGGUGUUUCUCUUACUCUCUGGAUGACCUAAUUGCUAGCACUUGUACUAUAGUUUAUGCAUUUGUAUAGUUCCUUUAUUGCAUGGUUUAUUUGCAUAUUAUAUGCUGUGUCCUUGCAGUUUUAAGGUAUACUGGUCAGAUUCUCCUUAAUUUUAAAGGAUGGUUAUGUCAAUUUACAGUGUAGGGACUUUAGUGGUUUUUCUGAAUAAAUACUGUGAAAUGUUA